rnacentral:rRNA from 1 species
UACGAAGGGGGCUAGCGUUGUUCGGAUUUACUGGGCGUAAAGCGCACGUAGGCGGGUUGUUAAGUCAGGGGUGAAAUCCUGGAGCUUAACUCCAGAACUGCCUUUGAUACUGGCAACCUAGAGGCUGGAAGAGGUUAGUGGAAUUCCCAGUGUAGAGGUGAAAUUCGUAGAUAUUGGGAAGAACACCAGUGGCGAAGGCGGCUAACUGGUCCAGAUCUGACGCUGAGGUGCGAAAGCGUGGGGAGCAAACAGG